rnacentral:rRNA from 1 species
AACGAACGCUGGCGGUAUGCCUAACACAUGCAAGUCGCACGAGAAAGUCUUCGGAUGAGUAGAGUGGCGCACGGGUGAGUAACACGUAGGUGACCUGCCGAACAGUGGGGGAUAACACGAAGAAAUUCGUGCUAAUACCGCAUACGGACAACAAAUCUGAGAGUAGUUGUCGAAAGCAUGCCUCUUUACAAUGCAUGCGCUGAUCGAUGGGCCUGCGAAGCAUUAGCUUGUUGGUGGGGUAAUGGCCUACCAAGGCGACGAUGCUUAGCGGAUCUGAGAGGAUGAUCCGUCACACUGGAACUGAGACACGGUCCAGACUCCUACGGAAGGCAGCAGUGGGGAAUAUUGCGCAAUGGACGAAAGUCUGACGCAGCAAUACCGCGUGAGUGAGGAAGGCCUUCGGGUUGUAAAGCUCUGUCAGGGUGGAAAAAAGGCGGACGGUCUAAUAGGCCGUACGAGUGAUGGUACACCCAAAGGAAGCACCGGCUAACUUCGUGCCAGCCGCCGCCGUAAGAC